AGAGUUUGAUCAUGGCUCAGAAUCAACGCUGGCGGCGCGCUUAACACAUGCAAGUCGAACGAGAAAGUGGAGCAAUCCAUGAGUACAGUGGCGUACGGGUGAGUAACACGUGGGUGAUCUACCUCUUAGUGAGGAAUAACCCUGGGAAACCGGGGCUAAUACCGCAUGAGCCUGAGAAGGGAAAGUCGCAAGACGCUGAGAGAGGAGCCCGCGGCCGAUUAGCUAGUUGGUAGGGUAAGAGCCUACCAAGGCAUAGAUCGGUAGCCGGCCUGAGAGGGCACACGGCCACACUGGCACUGAAACACGGGCCAGACUCCUACGGGAGGCAGCAGUGGGGAAUCUUGCACAAUGGGGGAAACCCUGAUGCAGCGACGCCGCGUGAGCGAUGAAGCCCCUCGGGGUGUAAAGCUCUUUCGGCAGGGAAGAUUAUGACGGUACCUGCAGAAGCAGCUGCGGCUAACUACGUGCCAGCAGCCGCGGUAAUACGUAGGCAGCGAGCGUUGUUCGGUGUUACUGGGCGUAAAGGGUGUGUAGGCGGUUCUUUAAGUUUGGUGUGAAAUCUCCCGGCUUAACCGGGAGGGUGCGCCGAAUACUGAGGGACUAGAGUACGGGAGAGGAAAGUGGAAUUCCUGGUGUAGCGGUGAAAUGCGUAGAUAUCAGGAGGAACACCGGUGGUGUAGACGGCUUUCUGGACCGUAACUGACGCUGAGACACGAAAGCGUGGGUAGCAAACAGGAUUAGAUACCCUAGUAGUCC
rnacentral:rRNA from 1 species